CUUGUUAUCUUGAUUGUCAGCUUGUCGAGACUGGAGAGACAAACCUCUUAAGCCUUUCUGUGAGGGCAUUUCCACAGACACGUAACAAAGUAGCAAGACCUUCCUACAAGCAGUGCAAAAGUUGGCACACUUGUUACCGUGAUCGUCGACUCAGGGACAAACCUCUUAAGCCUUUCCGUGAGGUCAUCUCCAGAGACUAUUAACUAAGUAGGAAGACCUGUGCAGAAUGUGAAACAGCACUAGCCUGCGGGCCGGGGGUCCCCAGACCGAAUAAAAAGGCGCCAACAUCCACCGCUCCCCUGCUUCCUGACUCUAUCGGCAACGUGGCCAGCUGCCCCACGCCCCUGCUGCAAUGACGGGAGCGCACCCUCAAACGGGUUUCUCCAUGGUGUUUUAGAGCCUGUACUGGAACCCACUCUGUAGACCAGGCUUGGUCUUGAACUCACAGAGAUCCGCCUGCUUCUGCCUCUUGAGUGUUGGGAUUAAAGGUGAGUGCCACCAAUGUCCAGCCCCUGCUAGCACUCUUAAGUUGUGGUCUUGAUCGCCUCACCCUCUCCGCCCUUCAUGUCGGCAUGCCAGCAUGGGAGGACAAAUCAGAAUGUGGGGUUCCUUUGGUUUCGCUUAUUUUGCUGUUCUGUUUUGGAAACAGCCCCCUCCUUAUUACCACUAACUAGCCCCAAAAUUCCUGAAGCCCCUGCUACCGCCCUGUAUUACAGAUACACAGCCACACCUGGGUCAUUUGUCUUCUUCUUGGGACUGGGUAACCCUGUCUGGCCCGGUACUCACAACAUUCCUUCUGCCCUGUCCUCUUCAAUGCUGGAAUUGAGGGUUUGGGCUGCCACACCCACCUUCUCCUUUGUGAUUGUGGUUUCCAUAGUUGAAGCAAGAGACAGGAGCACUUGAAAAGCCUGUUAAGACUGAACACACGGGGCUGGGGAGAUGUCUCAGAGGUGAAGAGCACCGGCCGCUCCUCCAGAGGUCAUGAGAACAAUUCCCAGCACCCACAUGGCGGUUUACAGCCAUCUAUGUUGUGACCUGGCACCCUCUUCUGGCCUGCAGGCGUGCAUGCAGACGGAACACUGUGUACGUAAUAAGUAAAUAAGUCUUUAAAACAACAACAACAACAAAAACUAAA